GGAAACAGCAGAAGUUCAGGCACCAACAACGGCCAAACAUAUGGAUGCAUUCACAAAAAAAAUUAUGUCAUGCGUGUCUUUCUUUACUCUAUUGAUGGUCACCAAAGAAAACUAUGCUUUGAAAUGAGCGCUUAUUUUCCUGGAAAUUAGUCGGUUAGUGUGAAAGAAGUGUGUGGCAUUUGGUGCAAAGGUUUGAUUUCGUCACGGGACAGAGUCUGAAUUUGUGAAGUGAGGCUCUUUAGUUUGUGAAGAGAUGUCCUCCCAAGUCAGAAUGAGGCUGCUGCCAAGCGCCAGAUGCUUGUUUGAUGAGCCUGUUCAGCUGAAGGUGUCCGGGCUGAGGUCAAGACAGGUGGUCACUA